rnacentral:rRNA from 1 species
UGGGGAAUUUUGCACAAUGGGGGAAACCCUGAUGCAGCGACGCCGCGUGAUUUAGAAGGCCUUCGGGUUGUAAAAAUCUUUUCUAUGGGAAGAAAAUGACAGUACCAUAGGAAUAAGGACCGGCUAAUUACGUGCCAGCAGCCGCGGUAAUACGUAAGGUCCGAGCGUUGUCCGGAAUCAUUGGGCGUAAAGGGUACGUAGGCGGGUAAGCAAGUUAGAAGUGAAAUCCUAUAGCUCAACUACAGUAAGCUUUUAAAACUGCUCAUCUUGAGAUAUGGAAGGGAAAGUGGAAUUCCUAGUGUAGCGGUGAAAUGCGCAGAUAUUAGGAGGAAUACCGGUGGCGAAGGCGACUUUCUGGCCAUAAUCUGACGCUGAGGUACGAAAGCGUGGGUAGCAAACAGG